rnacentral:tRNA from 1 species
AAUUUUUUAGUAUAAAGUAUAUUUGACUUCCAAUCAAAAGGACCGCCGAGCGGAAAAAUUA